AUAAAUAAAAUGUCACAAGCACAGAAGUAUAAUGCCAAACUGAUUUUAUUUAAAAACAAGUCUGUCUGUGUAAUAGUGUGAUGUAGUCAAUAUUUACAAAUUUUAGAUUUUGACAUCUAGCAAAAUGUAUAAAUUGCAAAACGUUUAAACAAUAAUUUAGGCCAAUGUUUAAACUGCAGGCAAAAUGGAUUUCCAGCUUAUUUUGCUGUUGUUUAAGAAUUACAGCCAGAAUUAGUGCUAUUUGUUUCUCCAUUAGAAAAACAGAGCCAGGUAAUAUGAACGACUGAAAUUGACAGAUUUCGAUUUGUGUGCCCAUGCAUCUCCUCCAAUAAUAUUUUUUCUGUUGUGUAUAUAGUUAAACCAACUAUAAAGAUGAGUGCUGUUGUCUCUGUCUGUCCAGUUCAAAAACACAUGGCAACCCUUCCGACAUGAAGCAGCCAUUCCUUUCAUGACAUUCCUCAAUCAUAGCUUUCCAUAACUACAAAGUUAUAUAAAAAAAAACAAUUUGGACACCAUAAAGAACAAAAACAAACCAAAAAAAAAAGUCCAAGUUUUUGAGCAGUUGGAUCUCCGCAAAAAAGCAAAUAUUACAUGAAAAUAAUGUGGCAGAUUGUAACAAAUCAAGCAGUCUGAAUCUGUACACAGUAUACUAGUACUCUGCAGUAAUACUAACUGCAUAAAGACAAAACUGAAAUAUUCUUGCAUUGUUAACCAGUAAUGUGUUUGAAUAUUCACGGCUAUCAACAGCAAACAGAGUGAAUAUGAAGUUGCAACUGCACAUACAACCAACGUACCACAGAGGGGAAAACAACUGACCACGUUCACAUAGUAUACUUCCCAUUUAGUCUAGUGCAAAUAUGGUCCCACCUACAAAAAAGUGCAGGUUGAAACAAAGAAUACAUGGCACAGGAAAAUUCUCAUGAGAGCAUUUGUGAAGUGCUCGUUAUGCUCCGCUCCUUAUGGUAAUUCCUUUAUUUGCACUGAUAAAGUUCAAGGUUUUUUUCACACAUGGGAUGCAAAGAUUUCCCUCUAUAGCUCCAUGUCUUCCUCUCCAGAGUUGAGGAGUGCUGGGCUGCUGAACAGGGGGCUAAAAGUCUGCUCACUGGGUGCUGUGAACUGGGGCUGGGGCGGGGGGCUGCUGAUAGGCGGUACAGGGGUGGGAGUCUGUCUGCUCACUGCCAACUGCUUGCGCUGCUGUCUCUGUAAAGAGUCCUUCAGCCUCUGGGUGAGAGGGUCCUCAGGGGGGCGCCACAACACCAAUUCCAUACAAGAGCAGCUCCUGCAGAGGUGAGUGAAGAAGAUGAGCUCAGUGCUGUUGGUAGAAGCUGAUAUUCUGUUGCUGGAUUGGGAACACCACCACCUACCUCUGUUUCUUUUUUUUUUAAUCAUAUUUUGAUUUUACACUAUUGUUCAAAAGUUUGGGGUCUGUAAGAUUUUUCACGUUUUUAAUGUUUCUGAAAAAAAGUCUCAUAUAGGCUGCAUUUGUUUGAUGAAAAAUACAAUAAAACGCUAAUGUGAUGAAAUAUUAUUAUUAUUAUGAAAUAACUUGUAUUUUAAUAUUUUAAAAUGUAAUUUAUUCCUAUAAUGGCAAAGCUGAGGUCCUUUCUAAUAUGCUGUAAUAUGUUGAUUUGCUGCUCAAGAAAUAUUUCUUUCUAUUAUCAAUGUUGAAAACAGUUUAUACUUUUGUGGAAACCUUGAUAGAUUUUUUUUUUUCAGGAUUCUUUGAUGAAUAGAACGUUUUUUAUUUUUUUUAGUUGUUAUUACUGUUUAUUAUGCUUGACAAGUAGCAUACAUAGAAACCUGAAAAUAAGACACGUACACUGACUGUGCUACCGUAUGGGGUAGAAUGUCACCAAUCCCACGUUGUAGCCCCUCCCUUAAGCUGUCGGACAUCACCAGCACUGGUCUGCGCUGAGCCGGUUCCACAUCAAGCUCUUCUUCAUCGCUGUCAUCCUUCAAAGUUAUCCUGU
ensembl:lncRNA